rnacentral:rRNA from 1 species
GAUGAACGCUGGCGGCGUGCCUAAUACAUGCAAGUCGAGCGAACAGAUAAGGAGCUUGCUCCUUUGAAGUUAGCGGCGGACGGGUGAGUAACACGUGGGUAACCUACCUAUAAGACUGGGAUAACUUCGGGAAACCGGAGCUAAUACCGGAUAACAUUUAGAACCGCAUGGUUCUAAAGUGAAGGAUGGUUUUGCUAUCACUUAUAGAUGGACCCGCGCCGUAUUAGCUAGUUGGUAAGGUAACGGCUUACCAAGGCGACGAUACGUAGCCGACCUGAGAGGGUGAUCGGCCACACUGGAACUGAGACACGGUCCAGACUCCUACGGGAGGCAGCAGUAGGGAAUCUUCCGCAAUGGGCGAAAGCCUGACGGAGCAACGCCGCGUGAGUGAUGAAGGGUUUCGGCUCGUAAAACUCUGUUAUUAGGGAAGAACAAAUGUGUAAGUAACUGUGCACAUCUUGACGGUACCUAAUCAGAAAGCCACGGCUAACUACGUGCCAGCACUCGCGGUAAUACGUAGGUGGCAAGCGUUACCCGGAAUUAUUGGGCGUACAGCGCGCGUAUGCGGUUUCUUAAGUCUGAUGUGAAAGCCCACGGGCUCACCCGUGGAGGGUCAUUGGAAACUGGGAAACUUGAGUGCAGAAGAGGAAAGUGGAAUUUCCUUGUGUAGCGGUGAAAUGGGCAGAGAUAUGGAGGAACACCAGUGGCGAAGGCGACUUUCUGGUCUGUAACUGACGCUGAUGUGCGAAAGCGUGGGGAUCAAACAGGAUUAGAUACCCUGGUAGUCCACGCCGUAAACGAUGAGUGCUAAGUGUUAGGGGGUUUCCGCCCCUUAGUGCUGCAGCUAACGCAUUAAGCACUCCGCCUGGGGAGUACGACCGCAAGGUUGAAACUCAAAGGAAUUGACGGGGACCCGCACAAGCGGUGGAGCAUGUGGUUUAAUUCGAAGCAACGCGAAGAACCUUACCAAAUCUUGACAUCCUUUGAAAACUCUAGAGAUAGAGCCUUCCCCUUCGGGGGACAAAGUGACAGGUGGUGCAUGGUUGUCGUCAGCUCGUGUCGUGAGAUGUUGGGUUAAGUCCCGCAACGAGCGCAACCCUUAAGCUUAGUUGCCAUCAUUAAGUUGGGCACUCUAGGUUGACUGCCGGUGACAAACCGGAGGAAGGUGGGGAUGACGUCAAAUCAUCAUGCCCCUUAUGAUUUGGGCUACACACGUGCUACAAUGGACAAUACAAAGGGCAGCUAAACCGCGAGGUCAUGCAAAUCCCAUAAAGUUGUUCUCAGUUCGGAUUGUAGUCUGCAACUCGACUACAUGAAGCUGGAAUCGCUAGUAAUCGUAGAUCAGCAUGCUACGGUGAAUACGUUCCCGGGUCU